CCUACGGGAGGCAGCAGUGAGGAAUAUUGGUCAAUGGACGAGAGUCUGAACCAGCCAAGCAGCGUGAAGGAUGACUGCCCUAUGGGUUGUAAACUUCUUUUAUAUGGGAAUAAAAUGUUCCACGUGUGGGAUUUUGUAUGUACCAUAUGAAUAAGGAUCGGCUAACUCCGUGCCAGCAGCCGCGGUAAUACGGAGGAUCCGAGCGUUAUCCGGAUUUAUUGGGUUUAAAGGGAGCGUAGGUGGAUUGUUAAGUCAGUUGUGAAAGUUUGCGGCUCAACCGUAAAAUUGCAGUUGAAACUGGCAGUCUUGAGUACAGUAGAGGUGGGCGGAAUUCGUGGUGUAGCGGUGAAAGGCUUAGAUAUCACGAAGAACUCCGAUUGCGAAGGCAGCUCACUGGACUGCAACUGACACUGAGGCUCGAAAGUGUGGGUAUCAAACAGGAUUAGAUACCCUGGUAGUC
rnacentral:rRNA from 1 species